rnacentral:lncRNA from 1 species
AGGCCGUAUCCUGGCAACUCAACAGAAUAGGAGAAUGAUCAGAACCAAACCUAGGGAGAACCAGCGCAGAAGAAGAAAACCAAAUAUCAGAGAAGUUCUGUGAAGAAAGAGCUCUAUCCAGCUGCUGCUGAAAUGGAAAUUUUAUUGAAAAAAUAAGUUUGGAAAAAAAAACCUUGAGAGCACAGGCGCAAACAAGGAGAGGGCCUAAAAAAAGAAAGCCCAAAAAAAUGGAAAAAACAACAAAACCCAAGCCAAAAAGAGAGCAAACAACGCAAAGCUAAAAGAACAUAAGUAAGAGCAAGCCACCCCUGCCGGCAAGGCGAGCAGCAGAGCAGAGGAGCCGAGCCCGAGCACAAAAGUGCC